GUGCUUCGGGUGCGACCCCGGUCCAAGUCCCUUGGAACAGGGUGUCCUAGAGGGUGAGAAUCCCGUAUGCGGCCGAUGGUCAACCCCAUGUGAAGCCCUUUCGACGAGUCGAGUUGUUUGGGAAUGCAGCUCUAAAUGGGUGGUAAAUUUCAUCUAAAGCUAAAUAUCUGUCGAAGACCGAUAGCGCACAAGUAGAGUGAUCGAAAGAUGAAAAGCACUUUGAAAAGAGAGUCAAACAGUACGUGAAAUUGUUGAAAGGGAAGCGCUUGCAACCAGACUCGCUCGCGGGUGUUCAACCGUCCCCAGGGGCGGUGCAUUCUCCCGCGGCCGGGCCAGCAUCGGUUUAGGCGGUCGGAUAAAGGCCCCGGGAAUGUAGCUCUUUUCGGGGAGUGUUAAGCCCGGGGUGCAAUGCGGCCAGCCCGGACCGAGGACCGCGCAUUCGCUAGGAUGCUGGCGUAAUGGUUGCCAGCGACCCGUCUUGAAACACGGACCAAGGAGUCGACCAACCGCGCGAGUGUUUGGGUGUUAAACCCCGGCGCGCAAUGAAAGUAAACGUAGGUGGGAGCCUUCGGGCGCACCAUCGACCGAUCCUGAUAUCUUUGGAUGGAUUUGAGUAAGAGCCCGGCUGGUCGGACCCGAAAGAUGGUGAACUAUGCGUGAAUAGGGUGAAGCCAGAGGAAACUCUGGUGGAGGCUCGCAGCGGUUCUGACGUGCAAAUCGAUCGUCAAAUUUGCGCAUAGGGGCGAAAGACCAAUCGAACUAUCUAGUAGCUGGUUCCCGUCGAAGUUUCCCUCAGGAUAGCAGCAACGGAGACAGUCUCAUGAGGUAGAGCAAACGAUUAGAGGUCUUGGGGUUAUUAUUGACCUUAACCUAUUCUCGAACUUCGAAUAUGUGAGAAGUCC
rnacentral:rRNA from 1 species